UGUGGUUUUUUGUUUUCCUUU
rnacentral:miRNA from 1 species